rnacentral:piRNA from 1 species
UUCAAAUAGGUCUAAUGUGGGAUCCCCUGC